rnacentral:rRNA from 1 species
AAUUUUGGACAAUGGGGGAAACCCUGAUCCAGCCAUCCCGCGUGUAUGAUGAAGGCCUUCGGGUUGUAAAGUACUUUUGGCAGAGAAGAAAAGGUAUCUCCUAAUACGAGAUACUGCGGACGGUAUCUGCAGAAUAAGCACCGGCUAACUACGUGCCAGCCGCCGCGGUAAUACGGAGGGUGCAAGCGUUAAACGGAAUUACUGGGCGUAAAGCAUGCGAAGGCGGUUCGGAAAGAAAGAUGUGAAAGCCCAGGGCUCAACCGUGGAACUGCAUUUUUAACUGCCGAGCUAGAGUAUGUCAGAGGGGGGUAGAAUUCCACGUGUAGCAGUGAAAUGCGUAGAUAUGUGGAGGAAUACCGAUGGCGAAGGCAGCCCCCUGGGAUAAUACUGACGCUCAGACACGAAAGCGUGGGGAGCAAACAGGA